UACGUAGGGGGCAAGCGUUGUCCGGAUUUAUUGGGCGUAAAGAGCGUGUAGGCGGCCAGGUAGGUCCGUUGUGAAAACUGGAGGCUCAACCUCCAGCGGUCGAUGGAAACCAUCUGGCUAGAGUCCGGAAGAGGAGAGUGGAAUUCCGCGUGUAGCAGUGAAAUGCGUAGAGAUGCGGAGGAACACCGAUGGCGAAGGCAGCCCCCUGGGCUGACACUGACGCUCAGGCACGAAAGCGUGGGGAGCAAACAGG
rnacentral:rRNA from 1 species